AACAUGCAGCACAGGCACCAGCUUCAGGGCCACUCCUUAAUUUUUCACAGUUUUGGCUUUUCAUUGUUUCCAGAAAUGCACAGCCCGUGCAUAGCGAAUACUCUCAAAUGCUGAUGGGAUCUUUAAGUCACACGAAACUCGUCCUGGAGCUGCACAAAUGCUGCCUGGCCGCGGUGACAGCGACAGAGCCGUCCCGACGUCUCUGUCCCCAGAGAUGCCAAUGAAAUCACGCAGGCCUGAGCCCGGCUUCGAGAAGAAGCUUGCCUCUGGCCAGGGUGGCUGAUGGGAACCAGAACUUGCCAGCCCUUUGUACCGUCCCCUGGCGUCUGGGAGCGCGGCCGAGGAACCCUCCUCGUCCUGGAAGCUUGCAGCCUCAACACCCAUUCUUUCAGCUCUCGGGGCUGCUGGGGACUUGACUGGCCAGUGGAAGCGUCCUUUCCCCUGGCCAAGAAGGGCCACAUCAGCAAAAAAGAAGCAGAAAAACCAGUCCCCCCACCGCUGGGGGAGGGACCUAGGGACCGCUAAACCUGCCCUGCCCGAUGCAGUGGUCCUUUCCUACAUGCAGCCCCUGAGCCUUUGAAAUUCAGAGAGUCCCUCUGAACUGAGACGUAUGUGUAAAAUACACUCUGGAUUUCAAAGACUUAGUACAAAAGGAAAAUAAAAAAGAUGUGGCUGCGUUUGCGGCUGACGCGAUGUUUCUACCGGACAUAGCCGUGCCAGGCUGUGGGUACUGGGGCCUGGGAACAGGCCUCACACGCAGCCUGCUUUCUCCCAGGCAGACAAUGGAAGAUGCCACCGUACCUCCCUGCCCAGUGACAACCCCUCACCCAACAGCCAGGAAUACCAGGCCCUCAUGGCCACACCUGAGCAGCCCUGUGUUCAUUUGCCUCGAGGGCUGGGUCUUGCACACUCAGAUGUCUGGGAAUCCUCUGUAAAACACGUAAGUGUGCAUAGGAACACGCACAUGCGUGCUCGAGGGCCCUGACUCUUCACUGCAGGCCUUGUCAACCCAUCCUGGCUGGCGUUCAGAGAAGCCCGAGUCACAGGGCCCCCCAGACAGCCCCCAAAGGCCCCCCUGGAGCCAGACAUUUGACCCUUUGCCCUGGGACAGACUGGACCUGCCCAGGGCCCCAUCAUGGCUUUCCUGGACCCAAGCACUUUUGUUUUCACGGCUCCUUCCUCCAUAAAUAUUAAAAAUUAUAUUCCAUGACUGCACUGAU